AAUACCAAAUACAGGAAUUGAACUAAACAGAAUAUACUGUAACCGCAAAAAUUAUUAUCCACAAUUACUCCAUUUCUUAAUCAAAGUAGAUUAUUAGCUAAAUCAUAAAUAGUAAAUGAUAAAUGAUCAUGUCAAUGCAAAUGCAAAAAGAACCAAUUAUUGAAUGAGAACCGAUUAUUGAAUGACGUAUCAAGAUAGAUAACUAAAGUAACAAAAUCAAAUCAAGCAUUAACUGCGUAGUUCGAAUAGAAACUAAAAACUAGAAACUGAUUACCAAAUGAAGUACCAGGAUAGAAUGAAUAAAAGCAACAAAAUCAAAUCAAAUAUACACUACGUAGCUAAAUUAAACACCACACUACUGUAUAGUUGAACAACAAGUAAGCAAGUCUGAUAUUUAAUAGCCAAACCAGUAUCAAUCAGUUAUAAAUAGACAUUUGAACAGACAAAACCAUUCAUUAUUACAGAAAGAACGAUAAAUCAAUAAUCAAAUCCAUUGACCUUAAUUAAUCAAAGUGAAAAUGAAUAAAUAGUGAAUAAAUACUGAACGCGAGCAAAACAGUUGAAGAAAUUAAGAAAAAGAAAUUAAAAAAAUUAAGAAAAUAAAGAAAAUGUAAAGUGUACAGUGUAAUGUGUACGCAAAUAUAACCAGCACAAUAUACUGUGAUAUAAAACAAAAUAAAAAUAGAAUAAGAUACAGUGAAGAUACAGUGAAGUGAAUUCCAACAAUGUAACCAUAGAUAUGCAUAGAUAAUAUAAACCAUAGAAUAGACAAAUUCAGAGAUGCGGGUAAGAAUUUACAGAGAUAUAACCUUAACCCUAAUGUGUCAAAACAAGGAGUGUCAACAGGAAACAAGACCAAUGUAAGAAGACUCGUUAAGAAUAAGAACAAGAACAAGAUUAAUUAAGAAAGCCUAAUUGUCAACUAAAUGAAAAGAAAGAAACAAACAAGAAACACCGCAAUAUAGCACCAUCAUGAAAAGGACUAUGCCAACACCUCAGAGGUGUCAUGAAUAAAUUAAAUUAAAUUAGAUUAGAGAAUAUCAAAGAAUAUUCAAAUAUCCAAGGUCGCAUAACAGGUGACAAGACAGAAUGCAGCAAUAAUACAGUAGUGACAAGCGUGGCACAAGUUUAAAUAUAGUAAGUAGAAGCAAAAGCAGACAGCAAUAAAGAAAUAUAAUAAAAGAAUGCGAGGAAGUGUAUCACAAGAGAAAAUAACAAGGAAGAAAGAAAACAAGAAGGAAAAAACAGGGCCAAUAUCGAAUAACAGUAAAAUCAAGAGUAACGCAUGUAAGGAACAUAACAAAAGAAGCAAUGUAUAAAUAAAUAAAUAAAUAAAACCAA